rnacentral:rRNA from 1 species
UACGUAGGGUGCGAGCGUUGUCCGGAAUUAUUGGGCGUAAAGAGCUCGUAGGCGGUGUGUUACGUCGGCCGUGAAAACCUGCAGCUUAACUGUGGGCGUGCGGUCGAUACGGGCAUCACUGGAGUUCGGCAGGGGAGACUGGAAUUCCUGGUGUAGCGGUGAAAUGCGCAGAUAUCAGGAGGAACACCGGUGGCGAAGGCGGGUCUCUGGGCCGAUACUGACGCUGAGGAGCGAAAGCGUGGGGAGCGAACCGG